ensembl:lncRNA
AGGAACCAGACUGAGGAUGAAAGCUCCUCCCUCCUCUUUAGGAACAGGUAAACAGGAAGUUGUUAUUAUUUUUUGUUAAGCUGUAAAACAGAAGUUACAAUGAGUAAGGAAGCAAUUAGACUGAGCAUCAUUGUCAAUUACAUCUGUUUUCUGUUAAAUGUAUAAAGAACUGAAUCUAUGAUAAAUAACAAAGGAAACAGAAUUUCAACAUUUUGUUGUGUUUUGUGAUUCAGAGACUGUUGGAUUAAGUCUGAAGUCAGGAUCUUGAAGUUUCAGCAUGAUGAGCCGUCCGCAGAGCUUCAUAGAAGAUGAAGCUCCUGACUCUCGGCAUGCAAAAUCAAAGAGAGGGUCAAAGGUCACCACAGAGAGAGUGGCCCUGCUGGUUCUCUGUAUCCUGCUGGCAGCUGCUCUCAUCAUUAUUUAUCGUCUCUCAGUUGAAAACAUGAGAACUAAAGAAACACUGAAAACACAGAACUACAAAAAUCCCUCCAGUGUAAACAAACCUCACUGACUGACUGGUUUGUUUGUUCCUUUUUAAUCAACGUUUGACAGAAUUAAAACUAACAAACAGCACGAAAA